rnacentral:misc_RNA from 1 species
CACGUAGGGGGCAAGCGCUGUCCGGAUUCAUUGGGCGUAAAGAGCUCGUAGGCGGCUCAGUAAGUCGGGUGUGAAACCUCCAGGCUCAACCUGGAGACGCCACCUGAUACUGCUGUGGCUAGAGUCCAGUAGGGGAGCGUGGAAUUCCUGGUGUAGCGGUGAAAUGCGCAGAUAUCAGGAGGAACACCAGUGGCGAAGGCGGCGCUCUGGGCUGGAACUGACGCUGAGGAGCGAAAGCGUGGGGAGCGAACAGG